rnacentral:tRNA from 1 species
GCCCGCUUGGCUCAGUUGGUUAGAGCGCAGGUCUCAUAUCUUACGUAUGAGUAACUUUGUAGUUACGCAAUCCUGAGGUCGCAAGUUCGAACCUUGCAGCGGGCA